ACCCUCUGGUAUUGAUGAAUAUAAAAGAAUUAAAUGUGACUGAGGUUUUGAAAAUUAAAAAAUCUUUUUAAAUGAGUAUUGAUUGUUCCUAUAUAUGCAAUUACUAGAAGCUGGAUUGUGGAGUAUAAUGCCAUUACUAGAAGCUUAUUGGCAUAUGGAAAAAACUAGAGAGUAUUUAUGCUUCUAGACCCAUGACUAAUCGUUUUCUUUUGAAGUUAGAUUUGUACUCUUGAGGAUGGAUGAAGGAAUGGGUAUACACAAGAGUUAAAAGGUUGACAACACAAGUAGUCAAUAUUAGAAAAAACAAAAUUGGGGAAAAAGAGCGAAACCUCAUUCUACAAGCCAUUGGUGCAAACAAUACUAGUUAAAAGGAUAACUUUAGGUUUAAUCUUACUAGAUAGAAUAAAAGGUUUUGAAAGGUAACGAGGCAUUGGUGAUGGAAGGUAAUCUAGGAAAUAAAAUUAUGAUUGUCAUGGGAGGAACAUGGCAUAAAGAGGUAGAUUUGGUAUAAAAAACUCUAUUUGAGAUUCUAGAUCUAGAGUGGAAUACAAUAUUAAUAUUUUUAUUGUCAUUGCAAAAUACUAGUUAAAAGGAUAACUUUAGGUUUAAAUGAUACAACUAUAAUUUUAUUGGAGAAUGAUAGGUUUUGAAAAUAGAAAACAAUGUCAAAAGGUAACGAGGCAUUGGUUAUGGGAGGUGGUCCUGUAAUUUACCAUGAAAGAUGGGAGCAAAGUGUUGAAUAUUAAACUCAAUCCAGAAGCUCCCAGAAGGUCAAGGAAGACAACCAGCCACCAGCCACCAGUCGCCGACCAGCCGCCAGCCGCCUUCACACUUGAAGGUUGAAUUUUCUAGUUUUUGAUUUCGUGUAUAAAUAGAGUGCCUAGCUUCUGUUAAUGUGUGUGGAGAGAAUUGAGAGCAAACACUAGAAAGAGAAAUAGAGAGAGAGAGGGCAUGUACUGUUAAGCUUUUGUUAAUUAAUUGUAAGCUUGUGUUUUUGUAACAAAACUUUGUGUUUUAUCCCCUCUGAGUGUUUCAAAGUCACCACCAGUGGUUUCUCCCAUGCACCAACAAUUAGUAUCAGAGCCCCGUUCGUCAGAAAACAGAAGUGUUUUGGGGUACAUCCGAAUUUUCAAAGUUGUCAAAAACAAGUUUUGAUCAUUCCACAGUGAAGAGCUCAUCAAUACGAACUCACUGUCGCAAGAAUCAGCCUUAUCGGAGUCCGCGGUGAUCCACACGCGCCGCCUGAAGAUCCGGUGACUGUAUCCCAUGCGCAUCCACGCGCGCCAUAUUUGAGCCGCGCCGAGCCCGAGCCGCGCCGCAAGCCGAGCCGUCCUCCGCACCGAGAGAAUAUUCCCCAAAAUAUUCCCCGAAUAUUCCUGGUUCAACCUAGCGAACCGCCCGCCGUACAGAAUUGGUUUUUUGACCGGUUCACCCAUUUUCUGACCCGAAUUCAACAAAGUCAGACCGGUUCCCUGCUAUUUGGAUCAUUCCAGAUCGAUCUACAAUGUCCGUUUGGCCAAAUUCGGCUCCUAGAAAGGUGAUAUAAUCAUUCAAAGAGCAAAAUGACUACAGAAGAUACACAUACACUCAUUCCAAAGCUGACCAAAGACAACUAUGAUAGUUGGUGCAUCAGAUUGAAGGCAUUCCUUGGGUCACAAGAGUGUUUGGAUAUUGUACAAACUGGUUAUGAUGAAUCAGAGUCCAAAGAAAGAGAAGAUGUUUUAUAAGAGGCACAAAAGCAAGCUCUUAAAGUCAACAGAAAGAAAGACAACAAAGCAAAGACCAUCAUCUAUCAGGGUCUUGAUGAAGACACAUUCGAGAUCAUAGCUUCCGCUGAAACAUCACAUGAUAUAUGGAGGCUCUCCAACAGAAAUACAAAGGUGCUGACAGAAUUAAAAAAAUUCGUCUUCAAUCUUUGCGAGGUGAAUUUGAGUUAUUGCAAAUGAAGUCCUCGGAGUCUAUUUCUGAUUAUCGCACAAGGAUUAUGGUGAUAGUCAACCAGAUGAGGAGAAAUGGAGAAGCCAUCGUCGAUUCUCGAAUUACUGAGAAAAUUUUGAGAUCGCUAGAUCCAAAAUUCGAUUUUGUUGUUGUCGCAAUUGAAGAAUCUAAAGAAGUGGACAAGUUGACAGUUGAUGAACUUAUGAGUUCUUUGCAAGCUCAUGAGCAGAAAAUUGUAAAGGGAAAUGGAGAUAAGGCAAUUGAGCAUGCCUUACAAGCAAAGCUGUCUCUCAAGGACAAAUAUGAGCAAGGGGAGACUUCAACAAAUGGAUAUACCACUCAAGCAGGAAGUCAACAAUCCAGAGGAGGAUUCCAGAGAUUCCAAGGAAGAGGUUCUUGGAAUACAAGCUUUAGAGGAAGAGGUGGCAGAAACAUCAUUAGAGGAGAUCGAGGACAACAAGCAUUCAAUCCUAGAGGAAGAGGGGGCGAUUACAAUAACCAUGACAAGAGGAAUAUCCAAUGUUAUAGUUGCAAUCAAUUUGGGCACUAUAGCACUGAAUGCAGAAGGAAAGCUCUAUUGGAGAUACGUGAGCAAGCCAACUAUGCAGAGAAGGAUGACAGAGAAGAAGCUGCAUUUCUUGUCCAACAAGAACAAAAUUAAGAUAAGGAAAUGAAAUAUUAUAGUUUUACAAUAAUAUAAUUGUUUUUUGCAUUAUACUUACCUAAUUACAAUGUGGUUUUCCCACACAUUUCUUACAACCCCCUCAUUUUCCUUGUCCUGGUAAUUUUUUUUCCUUGUAGUCAAACAUUAGUUAUUUUUAAAAAAAUUUUAAAAACUAUAUAUUAACUCAAUGUAUAUAUUAUUUAUUUAACCAUUAACUUUUCCCAAAAACAUCUACUAUAAUCAUACAUUUAGAAUGAUCUUAAAGUUGACUCUAUUAAAACAAUGGUUUUUCAAAAACAAAUUUAAGAUUAAUUGUAUUAAAGAGAAAAACUAUAAAAAAAAAACACAAAAAGUGUACCUAAGAUGUACAUCAUCUUGUAACCCAAAUCAAAUUGACCUUAGACAAUAGGGAAAAAAACAAAAGCUAAAAAAAAUUAAAAAUUUCUGAAAACAAGACUGCUUGAAUAAUAGCAUAGAAAAUCAAUUCAUCAAAAUCAUUUAAUGUAAAACUUAAAAUAAUCUAUUACAAAUAAAUAACUUCAAUGGUAAGAGAAAAAACAUGACUUACAUUGUGUCGUUGGCUUUUUAUGUUGCAAUAAGUUUUCUUGAUACAGGGUCUCUAGAAGAAGGGAUUCUACCUUUUUUGUUUGUGAAAUUCAUUGUUGUAAAUGAGAUCAUUGCAUAAUUAGUUGGCAUCAAAGGACAUAAUAAUCUCUCUCUUUGUAUGAUUAAUAGAAAUGAUACUGUGAAUCUGUAAAUUAUGCCAAAAACGCUUUAUUCUGUUUCUAAAGGACUCGAGGCUAUUGCUCUAAGAGUUGAAGUGCCUAUGUUCAAAAUCAUUUUAAAAUUACCUGCAUUAUUGCAUUUUUGUUCCACUAGAAAUUGUUUCUGAUGUUUUUGACAUCUACAAAUACUGCAAGGUCCUAUCCUGGUACUACUACAUCUGCUUGGUGUGGCCUUGUUAAGUUAACUGGGUAUUUGCAUAAUGUUUCCAGGCUGAUGCUUUUGAAAGCCAGCGUGGACAAUGCAUUGAUAUCACCUGGAAAGUGAUAAUUUAUUUAAAUAAAACAGACUUUACCAAGGUGAUGGAAACAAUGCUAUACUGCCCUGACAAAUAAAUGUAUAAAUGACAUGCGAGAGUUAAACUGGUUUUGCUUACACCAUUGUGCAUAGAACUGCUUAUUUCCUUUUCUGAAGAAUGUUCUUUGUACGCUUAAUUGAACUAGUCUCUUUAAGUGUUCAAUGGUUCUCACCAACCAUUUGUCAAAGAAAUAAAGAAGUCUGUUAAUUUUAUUGGUUUGCCAUUCCAACAGGGGCUGGAUCCCCUUUAAAUUGUGCAUGCAACUUGUUAGCAAACCUCUUAUUUUGGUAGGCAGAGUUUAUCCGUGUUGUGACUUCAGAUAAUAACAAUGACUGAUUUGGUCAAUCUCUCAAAAAGUUUUCUGUAUUCCCGAGAGUAAUAAUCCUAAUCAUCAUUUUAGGUUAGUUGACAGAAUAUCUUUCUUGGUUAUUUCUUAGUUCAUAUGAACCAAACCUGCCUCAUUCCUCCCCUCAUGCGAGGUAGUUAAGUAGUGUAUGAGCCCUAGUACUGGUUUCAAGAUAUGACUUAUCACUGUGUAUAUGUCUGUAGUUAGUUUAGCUGAGAGUUCAAACAAGUGUUUAUGGUGUUAAACGUUUUUCAAUCAUAAAUUGUUUUGCAGAUAUAAUUGAUGAAUUGGUGAAGAAUGGGAAAGAGAUAAGGCUGUAUAUUUUGCUUCUGAAUCUGGUUUGACGAAAAGAUUUUCUCCUGUAUCUCUACUCAAGUCAUAUCUUAAGAAUUCCAAGAAGAUCACAACUACUGUCUUGAAGAAUGGCAAUUAUAGUGUAGCUGCAACGGUGUGUCUAAUCUCUAUCUACAUUGUGUAAUUCUAAUGACAUGAAAUAUUUGAGUCUUAUUAAUUUUUUUGCAGGAUGAGUCAAGUACCUUGGAGUUGAAUUCUAUUAAAGCAAUCAUCAAAUGUGUGGAAGAUCAUAAGCUUGAAUCAGAAUUUUCCCUUGACAGCUUGAGAAAACGGGCUUCUCUGCUUGAAAAAACCAAAGCAGAGAGGAAGAGGGGUACAUCAUCAGCUGCCACUGCUACCAAGUCUCAAAACAAGCGAGGCCAUGGUUCAAGUGGUGGCCGGGACAGUGGACCUACUCCUUAUCGUCAAGCCAAAGCUGCCAAAUUUUCAAACAAUUAUUCCUCUUUCAGCCGCAGGAAUGCUCCUCUCCCUGCACAGCAUAGCCCGGCUAGAAGAUAUUCAGGGCCAUUCCACUACCCUAGCCAGAGUGUCUACGAGGGCCCCGCAGCAGCCCCGUAUGCAUCAACUUAUGGUAUCUCGCACGCUCAAAGCCCUUCUGCAAUCUCUCAACAACCCUACCAUCACUCUCAAAGCCCCAGUGCAAUUCCUCAACAACUCUACUCACAGCCAGCGGAGAACAUGAGUGCUGCCGGUUUCCGUGCCAGUGGUUCUUAUGGAAGCCAGACCGGGUUACGGGGCAUAUGAUUACGGCUCUGCUGCACCCGUUACUUACCAACCUUCAUCCUACACUCAAUAAGAUGGGAGGAACCUAGCCAGGUGUUAAGAUUCUUAUUUUUAUUUGGUGUCUGAUUUCUGGAUGUGGCCCUCUAAUUUUGGGACCCGCCCCCUUCAUCUCCCUUUCCCGUAUAAAAGUUUUUUUUUGGUCUUAUCUCAUGACUGGAUAUGAUGCCCAUGCCUGUAACGCUGAUUACCUUUAUAUGGAGCUCAAGCUGGAUGUGAUUUCCGUGCUGUGAGUUUUAAAUGGUUUGGCUAUCGAGCAUUGUGAUUACUCUCAUGAUUGGAGUCGCCAUUGGGCGCCUAUGCUUGUUUUUUUGCUAAAUUUUGGCAUGCCUAAUAGACUAAUUUGUUAAAUCACAACAAUUUAGUAAUCAUGCUAAAAAUCCAAUUUAGUAAGAACAUGGCUAUGAUGGGUAACAAUUAGCUAGCCCUUGUAAUUGAUAGACGUCAUUCUUUUGGCCACGAGAGGUCUGAAAAUAACUCACAAACAUUCAGACCAAUGGAGAAGCUUGUAUUACAUGUUCUAUAAAAUGGUUAUUCAUCAUCUAAUUCUUUAUAUAAACAAAUAACUACACAUGAAUAGAACAAUAAUGUUCCCUUAUAGUUUAUAAUAUUGCCACCUUUGUGAGUAUCAUUACCUUUGUGAAUAUCAUUUUGCCUCUACCAUCACAACCUCACAGUUAAUUUUUUUUUUCAUCAUUCAAUUUUUUUUUAAAAUUAGUCUUAUAAUUUGUUUUUUCAAUUCAGCUAUCCCCGAUUUCAUUACCAGAACUACAUGUUUGAUGAAUUUUUUUUGGGUCGCUGUUUUUUUAUUUAAAAUUUUAUUAGUUUCAUCCUUGAACAUUUGGUUCCUUUAGAAUUGAUUAUUGUAAUCAUUCUAAAGACAUGCAUAAAUUGUUUUAAGGCCUUAAAGUGCAUCUUCAUUCAUCUCAGAAACUGAAAAAAUAAAAAAAAAUCAAAUAAAAGAAACCUAAUUAUUUUUCCUGGCCUUGAUCUCUUUUUCUUUGUCCUUCUAGGGUGGUGUAAUCACCAUCAACAAAAUGGCCUUUUAAGGAAGAAGGGGACACUGGACACCAUUAUAGCAGGUUGCAAUGUCAGGAUCUAGAGGAAAGUUUCUCUCCUCGCCUAUCUCUCCUCGGUCCUGUCUCCGAUCUUUACAUACAGGGACUGAAUUUUAAAAAUAGUGUGUUUGUUUUUUAAAUAGGUUUUGUGGUUUUGAUUUUAAAAAAAUAAAUUUAAAAAAAGUGUGGUUAACUAUGAUUAGUUAAAUUUAAAUACGUGUUUAGUAAAAAUUAUAGUUGAAGUUUAUGUGUAACAAAAAUAAUGUAUAAAAUAUUUGGUGGAAGUAUAGUUGCCGUUGUUUUUUAAAGUGUUUUUUACUUGGAAAUGUAUCAAAAUAAUUUUUUUAAAAAAAUUAUUUUUGAUAUCAGCAUUGAUUUGAAAACAAAAAAAAUAUAUCAAUUUGAAGCAAAGAAAAAAAUAAAAAAAUUUAUUUUUUUCAAAAGCGCUUUUGAAACAUAAAAAUAAAUAGGGUUUUAUGAAACUCAAUUAAAAAAUCAUGUAAAAACUACUACAUAAAAAUUACGUUUCAAACUCAACUUUUUAGUAAGUCCCGCAUUACAAACCAAAGUUUAGUUUGUUAAUUACCAAACACUUUGCCAUGUUUGUUUCACCACAAACAAAAAACCAGUGAAGAAAUCCUAAAUAUCUAAAUAAUUUAUACAUGUUUUUUACUACACAUAACCUUUAACUAUAAUUUUUAUUAAACACAUAUUUAAAUUCAAUUAAUUACAAUUGACUCUAUUUAAAAAAAAAAACUUAUUUUUUUAAAUUAAAAUCUCAAAAACUAUCUAAAAAAUAAAGAAACGAGUGAGGAUGUUGAUGAUGCCAAGCAAGUCAGUGUAAAGUGGAAAUCUUGACAAGAUGUUGUAGCCUUCAUAAAAAGUACAAUGCAGUACAAAACGAGAGGUGAAUGUUUGAGAUUGUUAUAAUUUUUAAUUUUAUAUGAUUUUUAAAAGUAUAUUUUAUUUUAAAAAUAUAUUAAAUUAAUAUUUUUUUAAUAAUUUUUUCUAAAACAUAUUUUUCUAAAACAUAUUUUUAAAAAUAAUUUCCAUCACAACACUAAAAACAUAUAAAUAUUUAUCAUAGUAACAAGAAGUGAUAAUAUUUGAUGUAAAAACGGCUGAAUGUAUAUGUCAUGUUUCGAGAAGCGUCCAUGAUUAUAUCAUUAUGAUCCCAAAAAGAAAAAUAUUAAAUAUUAGGCUACAAUUAUUUAUAUACAGUUUUAAAACCUGGACCGGCCCGGCAGGUCAACUCGGGCCGAGACCGGUCCAGGUAGAGGCAAAAAUCUACUUGGAAAUUGACUCGGUAAAACCCGGUCGAUCUGCCGGGUUGACCCCGUGACCUGGACCACCCGGUCAAACCCGGCUGACACAUGAUCUCUCUUUCUCUCUUUCUCUAUAUAUAUAUAUAGACGUUAAACGACGUCGUUUUGGCCUUAAAAGGCCAAAACGAUGAACAAUGACGAAGCAGAAUUGGGGACACAUUGAUUACAGAGCAAACCCAAUUAACGAAAGAUUCCAUCACAGCCAAUGCAACUACAGUCUGGUCUAUAAGCUUUUGGCUUUCUUCUUUGCUCUUGCCAAUUAGGAUUUUUGCGUUUCGAGUGAUCGAUUUGCCCAUCAAAGUUGAAGUGAAGGGAGUGAGUUGGUUACAGAGAGAACUCCAUUCUAGGAUUUUAAGGGUUUUGAGUUGGAGUGAGCGAGCUGGAGGAGUGAGUUUCGGUGAGUGUGAAUCAAAGGGUUUUGUUAGGGCUUUGGUGGAGAAGGGUGGUUUGGUGGUGAAGAAGAGAAUCGGGGAUUUUUUAAUGGCUAUUAAAUGAUUGGAGAGUUUGAUUAAUGAAGGAUUUUUGAGGGAGAGAAGGAAAGGGAUGGGCUGUUUGACAACAACUUAUCCUUUUUAUUUUCAGCUUAUCUUUUAUUUUAGGUUGACUUGUUUUUAGGUUGACUCGUGUCAAUCAAUCUAACUCGUGAUUCGAUCACUUGACUAGAUUGAUAUCCGGAUCGAUUUUUAAAAUUAUGAUUUCUAUAAUUAGGUUACAUUUCGUUAUAGUCAUGUAUUUGAAAAAAUAUUUAGUUAAUAAAUAUAUAUAUAUAUAUAUAUAUAUAUAUAUGUUUUACUAAAAAUUAUUUUAAAAUUUUAAUUAAAAUAUAAUAUAUUUUAUAACUUUUUUUAAAAUGUAUUUUUUAAAAUCACAUAUCUAUCACAAAGAAAGAUCUUUUCAUACAUCCCAACUUUAGGCUAGAAGAUAUUCAGGGCCAUUCCACUACCCUAGCCAGAGUGUCUACGAGGGCCCCGCAGCAGCCCCGUAUGCAUCAACUUAUGGUAUCUCGCACGCUCAAAGCCCUUCUGCAAUCUCUCAACAACCCUACCAUCACUCUCAAAGCCCCAGUGCAAUUCCUCAACAACUCACUCACAGCCAGCGGAGACAUGAGUGCUGCCGGUUUCCGUGCCAGUGGUUCUUAUGGAAGCCAGACCGGUUACGGGGCAUAUGAUUACGGCUCUGCUGCACCCGUUACUUACCAACCUUCAUCCUACACUCAAUAAGAUGGGAGGAACCUAGCCAGGUGUUAAGAUUCUUAUUUUAUUUGGUGUCUGAUUUCUGGAUGUGGCCCUCUAAUUUUGGGACCCGCCCCCUUCAUCUCCCUUUCCCGUAUAAAAGUUUUUUUUUGGUCUUAUCUCAUGACUGGAUAUGAUGCCCAUGCCUGUAACGCUGAUUACCUUUAUAUGGAGCUCAAGCUGGAUGUGAUUUCCGUGCUGUGAGUUUUAAAUGGUUUGGCUAUCGAGCAUUGUGAUUACUCUCAUGAUUGGAGUCGCCAUUGGGCGCCUAUGCUUGUUUUUUUGCUAAAUUUUGGCAUGCCUAAUAGACUAAUUUGUUAAAUCACAACAAUUUAGUAAUCAUGCUAAAAAUCCAAUUUAGUAAGAACAUGGCUAUGAUGGGUAACAAUUAGCUAGCCCUUGUAAUUGAUAGACGUCAUUCUUUUGGCCACGAGAGGUCUGAAAAUAACUCACAAACAUUCAGACCAAUGGAGAAGCUUGUAUUACAUGUUCUAUAAAAUGGUUAUUCAUCAUCUAAUUCUUUAUAUAAACAAAUAACUACACAUGAAUAGAACAAUAAUGUUCCCUUAUAGUUUAUAAUAUUGCCACCUUUGUGAGUAUCAUUACCUUUGUGAAUAUCAUUUUGCCUCUACCAUCACAACCUCACAGUUAAUUUUUUUUUUCAUCAUUCAAUUUUUUUUUAAAAUUAGUCUUUAUAAUUUUGUUUUUCAAUUCAGCUAUCCCGAUUUCAUUACCAGAACUACAUGUUUGAUGAAUUUUUUUUUGGGUCGCUGUUUUUUUUAUUUAAAAUUUUAUUAGUUUCAUCCUUGAACAUUUGGUUCCUUUAGAAUUGAUUAUUGUAAUCAUUCUAAAGACAUGCAUAAAUUGUUUUAAGGCCUUAAAGUGCAUCUUCAUUCAUCUCAGAAACUGAAAAAAUAAAAAAAAAUCAAAUAAAAGAAACCUAAUUAUUUUUCCUGGCCUUGAUCUCUUUUUCUUUGUCCUUCUAGGGUGGUGUAAUCACCAUCAACAAAAUGGCCUUUUAAGGAAGAAGGGGACACUGGACACCAUUAUAGCAGGUUGCAAUGUCAGGAUCUAGAGGAAAGUUUCUCUCCUCGCCUAUCUCUCCUCGGUCCUGUCUCCGAUCUUUACAUACAGGGACUGAAUUUUAAAAAUAGUGUGUUUGUUUUUUAAAUAGGUUUUGUGGUUUUGAUUUAAAAAAAUAAGUUUAGAAAAAGGUGUGGUUAACUAUGAUUAGUUAAAUUUAAAUACAUGUUUAGUAAAAAUUAUAGUUGAAGUUUAUGUGUAACAAAAAUAAUAUAUAAAAUAUUUGGUGGAAGUGUUGGUUGUUUGUUUUUUACUUGGAAAUACAUCAAAAUAAUUUUUUUUUAAUUAUUUUUUAUAUCAGCAUUGAUUUGAAAACAAAAAAUAUAUCAAUUUGAAGCAAGGAAAAAAAUAAAAAAAUUUAUUUUUUUCAAAAGCGUUUUGAAACGUAAAAAUAAAUAGGGUUUUAUGAACUCAAUUAAAAAAUCAUGUAAAAAUACUACAUAAAAAUUGCGUUUCAAACUCAAUUUUUUAUAAGUCCCGCAUUACAAACCAAGUUUGGUUUGUUAAUUACCAAACACUUUGCCAUGUUUGUUUCACCGCAAACAAAAAACCAGUGAAAAAAUCUAAAUAUCUAAAUAAUUUAUACAUGUUUUUUACUACACAUAAAAUUUAACUAUAAUUUUUAUUAAAUACAUAUUUAAAUUCAAUUAAUUACAAUUGACUCUAUUUAAAAAAAACUUAUUUUUUUAAAUUAAAAUCUCAAAAACUAUCUAAAAAAUAAAGAAACGAGUGAGGAUGUUGAUGAUGCCAAGCAAGUCAGUGUAAAGUGGAAAUCUUGACAAGAUGUUGUAGUCUUCAUAAAAAGUACAAUGCAGUACAAAACGAGAGGUGAAUGUUUGAGAUUGUUAUAAUUUUUAAUUUUAUAUGAUUUUUAAAAGUAUAUUUUAUUUUAAAAAUAUAUUAAAUUAAUAUUUUUUUAAUAAUUUUUUAUAAAACAUAUUUUUAAAAAUAAUUUCCAUCACAACACUAAAAACAUAUAAAUAUUUAUCAUAGUAACAAGAAGUGAUAAUAUUUGAUGUAAAAACGGCUGAAUGUAUAUGUCAUGUUUCGAGAAGCGUCCAUGAUUAUAUCAUUAUGAUCCCAAAAAGAAAAAUAUUAAAUAUUAGGCUACAAUAUUUAUCAUAAUUUUAAAACUCGGACCGGCCCGCAGGUCGACUCGGGUCUGGAACCGGUCCAAGUGGAGGCAAAAAUCCACUUGGAAAUUGACUCGGUGAAACCUGGUCGAUCUGCGGGUCGACCCGUGACCCGGAUCACCCGGUCAAACCCGGCUGACACUUGACUCUCUCUCUUAUAUAUAUAUAUAUAUAUAGACGUUAAAAGACCGUUUUGGCCUUUUAAAAGGCCAAAACGAUUAACAAUGACGAAGCAGAAUUGGGACACAUUGAUUACAGAGCAAACCCAAAUAACGAAAGAUUCCAUCACAGCCAAUGCAACUACAGUCUGGUCUAUAAGCUUUUGGCUUUCUUCUUUGCUCUUGCCAAUUAGGAUUUUUGCGUUUCGAGUGAUCGAUUUGCCCAUCAAAGUUGAAGUGAAGGGAGUGAGUUGGUUACAGAGAGAACUCCAUUCUAGGAUUUUAAGGGUUUUGAGUUGGAGUGAGCGAGCUGGAGGAGUGAGUUUCGGUGAGUGUGAAUCAAAGGGUUUUGUUAGGGCUUUGGUGGAGAAGGGUGGUUUGGUGGUGAAGAAGAGAAUCGGGGAUUUUUUAAUGGAUAAAUGAUUGGAGAGUUUCAUUAAUGAAGGAUUUUUGAGGGAGAGAAGGAAAGGGAUGGCUGUUUGGACUUAUCCUUAUUUCAGCUUAUUUUUUUUUUAGAGUUUAUGCCGUGUCAAUCAUCUGACUCGUGAUCCGAUCACUUGACUAGAUUGAUAUCCGGAUCGGGUUUCAAAACUAUGAUUUCUAUAAUUAGGUUACAUUUCGUUAUAGUCAUGUAUUUGAAAAAUAUUUAGUAUUAUAUAUAUAUAUAUAUAUAUAUAUAUAUGUUUUACUAAAAAUUAUUUUAAAAUUUUAAUUAAAAUAUAAUAUAUUUUAUAACUUUUUUUAAAAUGUAUUUUUUAAAAUCACAUAUCUAUCACAAAGAAAGAUCUUUUCAUACAUCCCAACUUUAGGCUAGAAGAUAUUCAGGGCCAUUCCACUACCCUAGCCAGAGUGUCUACGAGGGCCCCGCAGCAGCCCCGUAUGCAUCAACUUAUGGUAUCUCGCACGCUCAAAGCCCUUCUGCAAUCUCUCAACAACCCUACCAUCACUCUCAAAGCCCCAGUGCAAUUCCUCAACAACUCUACUCACAGCCAGCGGAGAACAUGAGUGCUGCCGGUUUCCGUGCCAGUGGUUCUUAUGGAAGCCAGACCGGUUACGGGGCAUAUGAUUACGGCUCUGCUGCACCCGUUACUUACCAACCUUCAUCCUACACUCAAUAAGAUGGGAGAAACCUAGCCAGAUGUUAAGAUGAAGACAAAGAUCUGGUGCUCGAUUGAUGUUCAAUUUUAUCAAAUUAUGUUUAAAUUAAGUUGAUUUAAAGCAAUUAGGCCUUAAGGAAUCAAAUUUGAUUAUGAAACAAAUAUGGGAGACUGAAAUUAAUGGGUAUAGUUAAAAAGACACAGUAGCUGUGGCAGCGUAUGCAAUCUUUUCUAGCGGCCAACUCACCCUUCCAUGGUAGCGAUCGAUGCAUCUUAGAAUUCUUUUUCUGCAAUGGUAACACAUGUGUCGCCUAAUUUUUGGUUAUUUUUAUUUUAAUUAUUUUAUUUACCGAAAAGGAUAAAAUGAUGAUAAAAAAAAUAAUAAUGAUGAAAAACAAGUAAAAUAAAGAAUAAAUUAAAAUUUAGGUUAAGGACAACAUGAUGGAAAGUUUUGGGGUUUAAUUAAACUUUGGAAUUAAUCUAAUUAAUCCAAUCAAGGGCUUAAUUGGAGAAUUGAUAAGUUUUAAGACUUAAUUGAGCUUGAAAUUAAUUUAAUUAAUCCAAUCAAUGUUUUAAUUGGAGAAUUGAUAAGUUUUUGGACUUAAUUGAGCUUGGAAUUAAUUUAAUGAAUGAAAUCAAGGACGUAAUUGAAGAAAUAUCAAAGUUUGGGGUUAAUUGGGGUACAAUUUGCAAGAAAUGAAAACGCAAGGACCAAUGUGUAAAUUGCAAUGAGAUGCAGGGGUUCAAUUAAAAUUUACCCAACGACUGGACUGCUAAAAUUCAAAAUGACAAGGAUCAAAAUGCAAUUAGCCAUGUCCAUCAACACUAUUCAUCUUUUCCUUCACUCGCCCGAACAAAAACGGAUGCAUCGCCAUUACUCCUGCAAUAACAGUCAAUUUAUUACCUGGUAACGGUGGCAUUCUGUGGCUAUAAAGCCAGAGAGAACAAAGGGGCUAGAGAAGGGGGAACCGAAAAGCCACUGGUGAUCAUAGAACCGAAAAGCCACUGGUGAUCAUAGAACCGUGAGCAGCAGUGGAAGAUCUUCAUCCCCAGCAGCUUCCUCCAUUUCAAGCAGCUCCUCGCCACGGUUAGUCUCCACCCCAACACCAGAUACUCCAAGAUCAGCCACCGUGGGUAGUGUUGCCACCAAUCACCUCACACAGCAUCGUGAACUCCAACAGCAAGGCAACUGUCAGCAGCCUUGCAACAACCAGCAUCUCCCUUCUGCACCGUGAGCUUCAAUCACUCCACCAGCAUCACUAGUUCCAUCGUGACUAGCAUCACCAGCAGCUUAUCUCAGCAAAUCAGUAGCUCAUCACGGUGGCGACUGAUUUUUGAAGAGAGGCUGAAGCGUUCCUCAGCAACUCUUCUAGACAGGGAGGAGAAGAACCCCCAUCUCUUUUGUUCAGACCUCCAUCACCAUCAACCAUCGCCUUUCAUCUUCCAACAAAUAGCGUAAGCAGCAGCACAGGAAGGGAGGACUAGAGAAGACGCAGAACAACAGAAACAGAGGGGGAAACAGUAGCAGUCGGGCAAGCCUCCGUCACCAUCGACAUCGUCUUCGCCUUCACCUCGCAGCUGCGCCACCCCAGCAGCUCUUCCUCACCGUGACAUCCAGCAGUCUUCCCUUGAAGCAGCCGUCUCCCUCAGCCUUGCCAGGUAAGUUCUUCAGCUUUCCUUCUUUUGGUAAAUUAAUUACCUGUUACUGUUGCAUGCAUGCGUGAGUGAUUCACGCAUGCAUGCAACAGUGGCAGCCGGGUCACUGGUUUGGACCAGUGACCCGAACUUUUUUUUUUUUUUUUACCAUGCAACAUCAAUAAACAGAAAAAUAAAAAAAAUAGAAAAAAUAAAAAAUGUGUAUGCAUGAAUAAAAAUAAUGUAAAUUUAUUGGUUUAUUCACUGAAACCAGAGUCAGGAAUAAAAAUACCGGUUUAAAUAUAUAUUAUUUUUAUUCGUUGUAUUUUUAUUUUAUUUAGCUAGAAAAAUAACAAAUAUGUGCAUGAAUAAAAAUAAAUUUAUUUUUAUUUAUUUAUUCACUGGCACUAAAAUAGGGAAUAAAAAAAUAUUGAUUUUUUUUUUCAUAGCUAUGAAUUUUUACCAACGCCAGAGUUGGAAUUAUUCGAGCUCGAAUAUUCACUGGCGUCAGAGUCAGGAAUAUUAUAAAACAAAUCAUCAUAGCAUAAACUAAUAAAUAUUUAGCAAUUUAAGACAUAAACCAGCAAUGCAGUCUGUCUUAGGCAGAACGUUUAAAGGGUGAUAAUAUCUUCCCUUUUAAGUAACUAAUCCCGAGCCAUAGAAUCUCUGUUGACCAGUUAGGGUUCCUAGUAACCAUAAUACUAGGUGACGACUCCUUAAACAAGAUAUUUUCUUUAAAAGAACCGGAUGCCAGAAAUCUGUUCUUUUUCCAUAAUUCAAGAGAAUUAUUUUGAGGGCCGAUGCGAUGUCGGGUGCGACAACAUGUAUUCUUAUUCUUAGUGUUGUGUUGUUGGUGUUAUUUAUUUUAUUUUUUUCCAUAUUUUCCCUCUUUUCUCUUUAAAAUUCAUGAUAGCCAUUUCAAAGUUCAUAGUUGUCUCCUUAUUUUAGUAUUAUUUCAAAUGCAAUCCUUUUUUUAUUACUAAGUUUUUGUUCUAGAUCUUUUUCUAAAAUGUAAAAUUAUUUUCAAUUUUAUCAUUCAAUAAAAAAUUAUAAGUUGUCCUUUCAAUUCAUUUUUAAAAUUUGGUCCAUAUUUUUUUAAUUCCUAUUUUUAGUUUUUGAUCCUAUAGUGAAAUUAAAUUUUCCUUCCAUUUUCAUCAUCUAAUUUGUUUUUAUUUCUAAUUCUAUUCUUAUUCUUUUGGUUUUUUUUUAGAGCCUUUUGUAAAAUUAAAUUUUUUAAAUUAAUUUUUCAGCAUGAGGUUAUUUAAGAAUUGGAUUCCAUGUGUUUUUAUUGAUGGGAUGAUUCAUGACAUGGACCAAGUCAUAUAUUUAAAAAAUUGACCCGGGUUAACAUUGUUCUUUUAUUUAUUGAGUUUUAUUUUUUUUAUACACGUUUUAUUUUUUAUUUUCAUCCUUUAAUUUUUUUUUAAUUGAGCUUUAUGAUUUUUUUUUUAAUUUUCUUUCAAUCAUGUUAUCCUUAUUCAUCUCAGAAACUGAAAAAAAAAAAAAUAAAUGAAACCUAAUUAUUUUUCGUGGCCUUGAUCUCUUUUUCUUUGUCUUUCUAGGGUGCUGUAAUCACCAUCAACAAAGUGGCCUUUUAAGGAAGAAGUGGCUCAAAUUGUUUCUAUAGUUGGGUUACAUUUUAAUAUAGUCAUGUAUUUGAAAAAGUAUUUAGUUAAUUAAUAUUUAUUACAUAUAUAUAUAUAUACACACACAUUACUAAAAAUUAUUUUAAAAUUUUAAUUAAAAUAUAAUAUAAUUUAUAAAUCCCAACUUUCGCAAGAAUAGUAAUCAUGAGUCCUGACAUGUCCUCUUCCUUGUUGAAUUCUACGGGCUUCGAAUGUCAUGUUCAUGCCGAUUUACUAGGGUAUUUCUUUAUGCAUGCAUGCAAAAUAAUAUAAUAAUUAAUUAUUAGUUGAUAGAGGCUGAUAAAUAAAUAAAAAUAUAUAGUUUAUUGAGUUUCCAAAACAAAAUAAUCGCAUCAUGCAUGUGGUCUUCAACCAAAUCUACUACUGUUUGCAAAAAUAGUGUUCAUGUAGAUUAAUAAGGCCAUGUUUGUUUCUCGGAAAGUAGUUUUUAGAAAAUUAUUUUCCAAACUUUCUUGUGUUUGUUUGUCAUUAGAAAAGUUGGUCAACGGAAAACACUUUCCAGUAAAAAAAAAAUUUUAACUUGGUUUUCAGGAAAGUAUUUUCCUUUUAGAUGUGCUUGUUUUCUGGAAAGUGGUUUCCGAGAAAUUACUUUCCAAACUUUCUUGUGUUUGUUUGCCAGUAGAAAAGUUGGUCAAUGAAAAAUACUUUCCAGUAAAAGGAAAAUUUGGCUUGGUUUUCAGAAAAGUGUUUUCCUGAAAAAUUUAAGGGGAAAACACUUUCCGGAAGUUGUGAAAAAUUUAGAAAUGUCAUUAUUUUCUGAUUAUAUCAAAUUUGAUCCUCAAACUUUUGAUUGCUAUAUAUAUUUUGUUUUGAAUAUUUAUUUUUCAAUUUCAUCUCUUAAAAUGUUAUUUUUAUAUUAGCGUUGGUCCUUAUUUUUAUAGUUGCUAUUUGCUUUUUCCUUAUUAUUUUUUUAUUGAAAUUUUUUAUUUAUCAAAUUUGAUCCUCAUUCUUUUUAUUGUUACUUAUUUUAUUUGAAAUAAUUUAUGAAAUGUUGAUUAUUAUUAUUUUAAUUUCUUCAUUUUUUUUUUUUAGAUUUGAUCCCUAUUAUUUUGAUUAUUAUUUAUUUUAUUUGAGAUAAUUUAUGAAAUUAUAUUUUUUUUUUCAAUUUCAUUCUCAUUCAACUUUUUAAUUUGUAAGAUUUGUUCCUCAUUAUUUUAAUAAACUUGAGAAAAAUAAAAUAUUAAUAAGUUAUUUUCUAGCUCAUUUUCCAUGACAUAACCAAACACUGGAAAGUGUUUUCCAACUCAUUUUCCAUUACACUACCAAACAUCGGAAAAUACUUUAUCGGAAUUCACUUUCUCCGGAAUUCACUUUUCAAAAGGAAAACUUUCCAGCAAACAAACGGAGCCUAAGUACUAUUUAUUGAAACAAAGUAAUGAUAUUUUGCUUUUCUUGUAAAAGAAUUUGAACAAGUUAUUUAAGAUAGUUUCACAAGUUUCAUUUGUUAUUAUCGGGUCAAAUUAAUAAGUGUUUUUGCAUUUUAAAAUUAUAGUGAAAUAAUUAAAAUAUUCUUAUAUGUAAAAAAUUAUAAAUUGAUGUCCAAGAACUUUUUAGUAUUUUCACAUUAGUUUUUUCGUUAUUAUUAGGUUAGUUGAAGGAAAAUUUGGUAUUUUAAUAAAUAUAAAAUAUUAUUUAAAAACAAAAAACGGCUAGCCUAUGUAAUGCUUGUGCUAGCGUAUGGGUGGUGCUAGCUCCAUUCGGGUGGCAUCUCUCGACGACCGAACACUAGCUUUUGCCAUGUUAUUAAUUGAAAGCAUUGCAAUAUAAUCUUCCUUUAAGAACGGCACGUUGUGUUAUUGGGGUGGUUAUGUGAUGUUGGUGACCUUUUUUUCUUCUCAUCCCACUUUAGUCUUUCCUCCUUUUAAAAAUCAUGUUGGUCAUGUGAAAUUUUAAAGUUGUCCUUUAAUUUAUUGAGAUGUCAAAUUCAUUAUUAUUUUUUUUGAUAUUUUUUUUUUUGUUCUUGGUUAUUUUGUGAAAUUUUUAGUUAUUUUUAAUUUUAUCCUUCAAUCUCAAUUUGUGAUACAUUAUAUUUUUUUCAAUUUAGUCCUUAUUCUUUUGAUAUUUUUAUUUUUUGAGUCCUUUUAUAAAAUUGAAUUUUCUUUUCAAUUUCAUCCUUCAAUUAAAAAUAAAAUUUAUUUUUUAUUUUAAUUUUAAUUUGCAUUCCUUCAAGUACCCUUUUUUUUAAUCUCUCUGUAUAAUUGAUUUUUCUUUUUUUCAUUUUUAAAUUUUAUCAAAAACGCACGCGAUUCGUUGUUGUCAAACUAUCUAGUGCUAAGAAUUCGAAAGUCAAGUACCCUGCAAUAUGAAAGAACUCUGAAAACACACACCAGAGACAUGCAUGUUCUGCUUUAUAUAUAACCAAAGUCGUUACAAGAAAGAAGAGAAAGUGCUUAUCUAUUUGUUACAAGAGAUACAAAUUACAUGAGAUUUAAAUACAAGAUAAAAUGCCCUCCCGUUUGCAAGCUAUCCAGUUUGAACUGGAUGUGAUCCUAUUCUCUACCCAUAAAAAUAAUACUGAAUUUAAAGGGAUUUGCAGUCAGGACAGACAAUAAUGAUUUUCCAGCUGCAAGCAUCAAUCUAUAGGAAAAACCUAAUUGAUAAUAAUAAAAAAAGGCUUGGAAUGUGAUGAUGGUUAGGAAAAAUCCAGUACGUUCGUGCACCGUGAUUGUCAGCAUGAAUGUAAAUGCUAAACCCAUGCAGAAAAGGGAGUAGAAAUUAAAAUAUGUCGCCAUCUCCAUGCAUAUUGUUACAUAAUUGGUACCACCUAAUGAUAUCUGACAAAGGAUUAUAGCGGCGAUGAGGGAGAGAUUCAUAGCUAGCAUGUCGAAAAAAACAUAAGCUCUCAUCAGAUUUUUUGAACUACCACUGCUAAGAUCACGACCUGAUCCAGGCACAGUGAUAGCACCAGCGAAGGUUACUCCAACUACCAGUACUGCCACCACGAGAAGAUUCCCUACCCCUCUGUUCAGUUGCUCCGUCGUUAACGUCGUUCUUGGUAAAUCAAAGAUAGGACUGAUGCAAGGCUCAGGCAUAUCAUCUGCCUCCUCCAAAACUUUAAAUACCUUACGCUGAACAACAAAGUGUUUAUUAGAAAAUAUAUGGUAAACAAAUUAAUUAUAUAAAGCAUCAUGACAAUGCUAGCUUAAUGUCCCAUAAUAACGAAGAAGGAAUUCAUCGCUAUAUAUUUAGUAGAUCAGCGAGGCAUUCCAUAUUUUUGAGCAAGUAAAGAACUUUAUUUCCACUUUGGAUUAAUCAAAUUUAAGGUAAUUGAAAGAAAUCUAUCAUUCCCUUUUCUAUAAAGUUGCAACAUGGACAGAAUGUGGAUGUGAAAGUUUUUGCUAUACUAGAAUGUAUUUACUUCAAUCACCUGAUUAGCUUCUUACGUGGACCAAAGCAACUAGAAUAUAAUUUGACUUGGAUGCGAAUGGUUCUUUAAAUGGCUAACCAAAACCCUCUGGUAUUGAUGAAUAUAACAGAAUUAAAUGUGACUGAGGUUUUGACAAUUAAAAAAUCUUUUUAAAUGAGUAUUGAUUGUUCCUAUGCAAUUACUAGAAGCUGGAUUGUGGAGUAUAAUGCCAUUACUAGAAGCUUAUUGGCUAUAAGAGAUAAUUAAUGAAGUUAUCUUUAUUGGCAUAUGGAAAAAACUAGAGAGUAUUUAUGC
rnacentral:lncRNA from 1 species